rnacentral:other from 1 species
AGUCAUCUGAGUUGUUCGUAAGUUUGCUUUUUAAUUUGGGCCUAACACUCUUUGAUCAAGGGAGCCCAAUGGGUUUUCUUGUAGCGUACACGCCUUAUAUGAAGGACGUACAAAACAAGAAACAGGGCACCCACCUGUAUAUAACAGGCCGAAUGAUCAAGCUAUUAUAACUACGGCAAUACGGACUCUAU